GAAAAGAACCCCGGCGAGGGGAGUGAAAAAGAACCUGAAACCGUGUACGUACAAGCAGUGGGAGCCUCUUAAUGGGGUGACUGCGUACCUUUUGUAUAAUGGGUCAGCGACUUAUAUUCUGUAGCAAGGUUAACCGAAUAGGGGAGUCGAAGGGAAACCGAGUCUUAACUGGGCGUUAAGUUGCAGGGUAUAGACCCGAAACCCGGUGAUCUAGCCAUGGGCAGGUUGAAGGUUGGGUAACACUAACUGGAGGACCGAACCGACUAAUGUUGAAAAAUUAGCGGAUGACUUGUGGCUGGGGGUGAAAGGCCAAUCAAACCGGGAGAUAGCUGGUUCUCCCCGAAAGCUAUUUAGGUAGCGCCUCGUGAAUUCAUCUCCGGGGGUAGAGCACUGUUUCGGCAAGGGGGUCAUCCCGACUUACCAACCCGAUGCAAACUGCGAAUACCGGAGAAUGUUAUCACGGGAGACACACGGCGGGUGCUAACGUCCGUCGUGAAGAGGGAAACAACCCAGACCGCCAGCUAAGGUCCCAAAGUCAUGGUUAAGUGGGAAACGAUGUGGGAAGGCCCAGACAGCCAGGAUGUUGGCUUAGAAGCAGCCAUCAUUUAAAGAAAGCGUAAUAGCUCACUGGUCGAGUCGGCCUGCGCGGAAGAUGUAACGGGGCUAAACCAUG
rnacentral:rRNA from 1 species